rnacentral:rRNA from 1 species
GGAAAAGAAACCAACAGGGAUUGCCUCAGUAGCGGCGAGUGAAGCGGCAACAGCUCAAAUUUGAAAUCUGGCCCCCCUGCGGGGUCCGAGUUGUAAUUUGGAGAGGAUGCUUUUGGCGCGGUGCCUUCCGAGUUCCUUGGAACAGGACGCCACAGAGGGUGAGAGCCCCGUACGGUUGGCCGCCAAACCUGUGUAAAGCUCCUUCGACGAGUCGAGUAGUUUGGGAAUGCUGCUCAAAAUGGGAGGUAAAUUUCUUCUAAAGCUAAAUAUUGGCCAGAGACCGAUAGCGCACAAGUAGAGUGAUCGAAAGAUGAAAAGCACUUUGAAAAGAGAGUUAAACAGUACGUGAAAUUGUUGAAAGGGAAGCGCCUGCGACCAGACUUGCACCCCGUGGACCACCCGGCGUUCUCGCCGGUGCACUCUGCGGGGCGCAGGCCAGCAUCGGUUUUUCUGGGGGAUAAAGGCUGUGGGAACGUAGCUCCUUCGGGAGUGUUAUAGCCCAUGGCGUCAUGCCCCAGGAGGGACCGAGGACCGCGCUUCGGCAAGGAUGCUGGCGUAAUGGUUCGCCCGGCGACCCGUCU